UGGGGUGCCGCUCAGUGGCAGAGCACUUGCCUAGCAUGUAUGAGGCCCUGGGUUCCAUCCCCAGCACCACAA
rfam:Ictidomys tridecemlineatus contig014800, whole genome shotgun sequence.